CAUGAACUAAGCCCUAAAUAAAAACAUUUUCAAGCCAAGAAUCGCUAAACUUGCAAUUCCCCAUGACUGAAGAAUACAAUCCGUUUUAUGUCUGUGGAACAAUCUAAGAGAGACUCGUGCCAAUAACACAAAAGCUGAUUGGCUGCAAUAUAAGUUGCAUGUUGGUCUCAUUUGUAGACGUAAUACAACAAAAUUACAUUUGGACUAGCAACAGAAAGAACUACAACACCACAGAAU